ensembl:lncRNA
CGGAAUUUGAAGUGACUCAUUGGAUCUUGAAGGAUUACUGCAGUGUUUUGCAAACUAGUGUCUAUUUGCCACGUCUGCACUCAGUGUGAGAUUUCCACAAACAAUAAUGUAAAUUUCUUUGUACUAAGAAAAAGAGCCAAGUUGGUUAUAAUGGAAGUCUAAGGGCAGUUGGUGAAUUCCGCUAAUUAACUUGAAUUCCGACUCAUUUACAGCCGUUAUACUAACAAUAAAGGUAAAAGUAAUUCUAAACUUUUUUGCCUAUAGUUCGGAGGUAUCCGUGUGCCGUCAGCCUGAAGCUCAGGUACGUCCCUGUUUGCAGUCCCCUCUGAAACUAUUGGAACGUCAUUUGUUCGUGCUCUACACGAGACAUUCGGGUUUGAGAUCAAAAGGCGGAUUUCAGCUUUUAUUUCCUGGUCUUUACAUCUAGACGUGUUAAACAGCUUAAAACAUAGAACCCUUUUGUAUCGGUCCACCCAAUUUGUAGGUGAGCAAAAAUAUAGGAACCGAUCAGUUUUGAAGUAAAUUAAAGUACUGUCGUGAUCAUAAAUUCACAAACCAUUUUGGGAGAAUCUGCAAAAUGUUAAUAAUUGAAAAAUAAGAGGAAACAUGAAAAUUGCAGUUGGUUUUUUUUAUUUAGUUCUACCCUGAAUAAGCUGUUUCACAUAACAGAAAUUUACAUAUACUCCACGAGACAUAAUAACUGACUGAAUUUACACAAAUGAACCAGUUCAAAAGUUUACACACACUUGAUUAUUAAUCCCGUGUGUCGUUACCUGGAUGAUCAGCGACUGUGUUUAUGUUCUGUGAGAGUUGUUCACGAGUCCCUUGUUUGUCCUGAGCAGUUAAACUGCCCGCUGUUCUUCAGAAAAAUCCUCCAGGUCCUGCACGUUCUGUACUUUUCCAGCAUCUUCUGCAUAUUUGACCUCUUUCCAGCAGUCUCUAUAUGAUGUCGAGAUCCAUCUUUUCACACUGAGGACGACUGAGGGACUCGUACACGACUAUUACAAAAGGUGCGAACGCUCACUGACGCUCCAGGAGGCGAGACGUGUGUAGCUCCUGAAUGCCGGUACUAAAUGGAAAAAAUUUGACAACUAUUGUCCUGUUCAGAAGUUUACACCCCCUGACUCUUAAUGUAUCAUGUUGCGUUCUUGGACAAUUUUAUAAUCCUUCUUUUUUAAAAAAAAAAAAAUUAUUAGCAUUUUGCAGAUUCAGCAAAGGGCGUGUAAUUUUAUAAGUACAAGUGUAUGCUUUACUGUGCCACAUUCAACCAUGUCCUACCUUCCUGAUUUAGAGGAUUUCGAGCUAAAAUAUUUUCCUUGUCUUCGUCACUAUUUGAGUCACACUUCAGUCCUCUCAAAUCCUUUAUCACAGCCCUGAUUGUAAUUCACGCUCAUUUUAAGUGCUUACUUUUGAUUGAUUUAUUUUGCUUAUUUUUAUAUUUGUUACCUCUCACUUAUGUAGGUCAACAACCCUCUGUCUCUUGUGUUGAAAGCGCUUUGUUUUUUUUUUUCUAAUGAUCAUUAUGACACAGUUUUUGACAUGUAGGCAACCUCAUAUUUGGACAAAGGCAUCAAGGUGUUAUUGAAGAAUGAGAGAUAUUUAAAAAAAAAAAAAAAAACAGUUUUGGAAAUUAUUAUAUAUAAAAAAAAAGGUCUUAUAAGAAUUAUUU